rnacentral:rRNA from 1 species
GUCGGACGGCAGCAUGAAAGAGCUUGCUCUUUUGAUGGCGAGUGGCGAACGGGUGAGUAAUGCAUCGGAACGUACCGAGUAGUGGGGGAUAACUGUCCGAAAGGAUGGCUAAUACCGCAUAUUCUCUGAGGAGGAAAGCAGGGGACCUUAGGGCCUUGCGCUAUUUGAGCGGCCGAUGUCUGAUUAGCUGGUUGGUGGGGUAAGAGCCCACCAAGGCGACGAUCAGUAGCGGGUCUGAGAGGAUGAUCCGCCACACUGGGACUGAGACACGGCCCAGACUCCUACGGGAGGCAGCAGUGGGGAAUUUUGGACAAUGGGCGCAAGCCUGAUCCAGCCAUGCCGCGUGUAUGAAGAAGGCCUUCGGGUUGUAAAGUACUUUUGUCAGGGAAGAAAAGCCUGGGGAUAACACCCCUGGGUCAUGACGGUACCUGAAGAAUAAGCACCGGCUAACUACGUGCCAGCAGCCGCGGUAAUACGUAGGGUGCGAGCGUUAAUCGGAAUUACUGGGCGUAAAGCGAGCGCAGACGGUUAUUUAAGCAAGAUGUGAAAGCCCCGGGCUCAACCUGGGAACUGCGUUUUGAACUGGGUAACUAGAGUGUGUCAGAGGGGGGUAGAAUUCCACGUGUAGCAGUGAAAUGCGUAGAGAUGUGGAGGAAUACCGAUGGCGAAGGCAGCCCCCUGGGAUAACACUGACGUUCAUGCUCGAAAGCGUGGGUAGCAAAACAGGAUUAGAUACCCUGGUAGUCCACGCCCUAAACGAUGUCAAUUUAGCUGUUUGGGGUACAUGAUGCCUUAGUAGCGUUAGCUAACGCGGUGAAAUUGACCGCCUGGGGGAGUACGGUCGCAAGAUUAAAACUCAAAGGAAUUUGACGGGGACCCGCACAAGCCGGGGGAUGAUGUGGAUUAUUUCGAUGCAACGCGAAGAAACCUUACCUGGGUCUUGACAUUGUACCGGAAUCUCUUUAGAGA